rnacentral:lncRNA from 1 species
CAUGUACUGUCAUACUGUUAGUAUGUUUCAUGUAACUGUCAUACUGUUAGUAUGUUUCAUGUAACUGUCAUACUGUUAGUAUGUUUCAU